AUUGAACGCUGGCGGCAUGCCUUACACAUGCAAGUCGAACGGUAACGGGUCCUUCGGGAUGCCGACGAGUGGCGAACGGGUGAGUAAUAUAUCGGAACGUGCCCAGUAGUGGGGGAUAACUGCUCGAAAGAGCAGCUAAUACCGCAUACGACCUGCGGGUGAAAGGGGGGGAUCGCAAGACCUCUCGCUAUUUGAGCGGCCGAUAUCAGAUUAGCUAUUUGGUGGGGUAAAGGCCUACCAAGGCAACGAUCUGUAGUUGGUCUGAGAGGACGACCAGCCACACUGGGACUGAGACACGGCCCAGACUCCUACGGGAGGCAGCAGUGGGGAAUUUUGGACAAUGGGCGCAAGCCUGAUCCAGCAAUGCCGCGUGCAGGAAGAAGGCCUUCGGGUUGUAAACUGCUUUUGUCAGGGAAGAAAUCUUCUGGGCUAAUACCCCGGGAGGAUGACGGUACCUGAAGAAUAAGCACCGGCUAACUACGUGCCAGCCGCCGCCGUAA
rnacentral:rRNA from 1 species